GACGAACGCUGGCGGCGUGCCUAAUACAUGCAAGUAGAACGCUGAAGGAGGAGCUUGCUUCCCUGGAUGAGUUGCGAACGGGUGAGUAACGCGUAGGUAACCUGCCUGGUAGCGGGGGAUAACUAUUGGAAACGAUAGCUAAUACCGCAUAACAGUAGAUGUUGCAUGACAUUUGCUUAAAAAGGUGCAAUUGCAUUACUACCAGAUGGACCUGCGUUGUAUUAGCUAGUUGGUGGGGUAACGGCUCACCAAGGCGACGAUACAUAGCCGACCCGAGAGGGUGAUCGGCCACACUGGGACUGAGACACGGCCCAG
rnacentral:rRNA from 1 species